rnacentral:rRNA from 1 species
UACGUAGGUGGCAAGCGUUGUCCGGAUUUACUGGGCGUAAAGAGCGCGCAGGCGGUCGGAUAAGUCGAAUGUGAAAGCCCCUGGCUCAACCAGGGAGGGUCAUUCGAUACUGUUCGACUCGAAGGCAGGAGAGGGAAGUGGAAUUCCGGGUGUAGUGGUGAAAUGCGUAGAUAUCGGGAGGAACACCAGUGGCGAAGGCGACUACCUGGCCUGUUCUUGACGCUGAGGCGCGAAAGCUAGGGGAGCAAACGGG